rnacentral:rRNA from 1 species
AGUGAACGCUGGCGGCAGGCCUAAUACAUGCAAGUCGAACGGCAGCACAGUAAGAGCUUGCUCUUACGGGUGGCGAGUGGCGGACGGGUGAGGAAUACAUCGGAAUCUACUUUUUCGUGGGGGACAACGUAGGGAAACUUACGCUAAUACAGCAUACGAUCUACGGGUGAAAGCAGGGGAUCUUCGGACCCUGCGCGAUUGAAUGAGCCGAUGUCGGAUUAGCUAGUUGGCGGGGUAAAGGCCCACCAAGGCGACGAUCCGUAGCUGGUCUGAGAGGAUGAUCAGCCACACUGGAACUGAGACACGGUCCAGACUCCUACGGGAGGCAGCAGUGGGGAAUAUUCGACAAUGGGCGCAAGUCUGAUCCAGCCAUACCGCGUGGGUGAAGAAGGCCUUCGGGUUGUAAAGCCCUUUUAUUGGGAAAGAAAAGCAGCGGGUUAAUACCCCGCUGUUCUGACGGUACCCAAAGAAUAAGCACCGGCUAACUUCGUG